rnacentral:lncRNA from 1 species
AUUCAAGUGACCACCUUUGCAUGAACCUUCUAACUUCUUGAGCUGCCUGGUGAUUGGAGAUGAACGUUGACUGAAGCAUGGCAUCCACUUGCCCUCCGCUACUAUUGCAGAGAGAAAGGGGGUGGGUGUCCAGCCACAAGCCAGUCAGUCUGCACAAUGAUGCCAUGUUCUGAAGGAAGCCAAGUGUGCUCGGCUUUACAAGAAAUAGAUAACAUCAAGGACAUCGGGAGUGGGAGAGAUUGGACUGGGAGACUCAGCAGUUACGGAGAAAAUUGUGGGCAGUAUAAGAGUGACUUCCUUGCUGUGUGAAAUUACCUUGUCCUGAAUUUCUUCUGGUCUCUUCUCAGUGUGGAAAAACAUGUCUAAGGAAAGCUACUUUGUGAUGGUAGCUUGGAACUGCUCUCAUGAACAAGCCUUUUCUUCAUUCUGUCUUGCAGGGGAACAUAUGUCUUUCUAGUUGCCUAUGUCACUAUGGGAGAAAAUUGCUUCAAGUAAAAUAAAAAUAAGUAUGAACUGGUUCCCUAAAUGGCCCAUUUGCAAAUUAAGUUUGUAGAAAUUUAUCUUUUCUGUUUUUCUUGCUAGAGUCUACAAUCUGG